UACGUAGGGUGCGAGCGUUAAUCGGAAUCACUGGGCGUAAAGCGCACGUAGGCGGCUUUUUAAGUCAGGGGUGAAAUCCUGGAGCUCAACUCCAGAACUGCCUUUGAUACUGAGAAGCUUGAGUUCGGGAGAGGUGAGUGGAACUGCGAGUGUAGAGGUGAAAUUCGUAGAUAUUCGCAAGAACACCAGUGGCGAAGGCGGCUCACUGGCCCGAUACUGACGCUGAGGUGCGAAAGCGUGGGGAGCAAACAGG
rnacentral:rRNA from 1 species